UUGUAGUAGUAGUGGUACUUGUAGUAGUAAUAGUAGUAGUAGUAGUAGUAGUAACAGUGGCGGCUGCUGCUUCUAAAUUUCACUUUCACUAUUAAUCUACUGCGAAUUAAAUCCGUCAUCUUAACCGCGUGUGUGUGUGUGUGUGUGUGUGUGUGUGUGUGCGUGUGUUCGUCGUGUGAGAGGAGGAGUCUCUGUUUUUGUGUAUUCGUGUGCUUAGCUAUCUAUAUGAGUUUGUGAGUGUGUGCAGGUGGGUGUACGCCAACCAAAUCUCAAACAAACAUUCUCCACUCCUUGUAUUUGUCACUACAGUUAUACAAUCAAACGAUAUAUUUUCAAAGUAAGAAAACAUGCUAAAAUUUAAAGAAAUCGAAGACGUUUGGUUAAAGGAAAACAUUUUCUAUAAAAGAAAGACAAAACAUUAAAAUUAUCUUUUACCAUUUAUUAGUUUCUACUACAGAGCUGCGGCCACGCUGAAGCACCAAAAACUAUUGUUCGUUUAGUAUUUCUAACUUUUGAAAUUUUUCAGUAGUUAAGUAUAUUUUUAUGAUUUUUAACUUUCACCAAUGUU